AAUUGCAAAACUAUUUAGAUAAAUAAGUUGUGAUACCACUGAGACACACAAAACAUUUGAAUGUUGAGGGUAUGAAUAAAAGUGUGUGUGCACGUUUCUGAUCUUUUGUUUGCCUAACUGAAUAGGGAAUACACAGGGAGUUGUGUAAUUCCUCAUGAUUUGGAACGUAAGUCUUUGAAUGUUAUUCUCAUGUAACAGGGCUGGCCAAUGGCACAGACAACUGUUAUCUGCAAUGUAUAAAUGAAGUGAUACAUAUGUGAGAUUUGUGUCUGCAUCACUCAGAAUGAGAAUGUCAGAGAAUAUCUCGUUUACCUCUGGCACAAAGCCAAUGUUGUAGGCAGUGGAGUAAACAGCAUGUGGAUCUUUUUGUCAUGAACAUAAAGCCAUGUGCCAACAACUUGUUUUGUAAUCCGAGUGGAUAAUGUGCUAGGUAGAGUGGUGCAAUACAAAACAAACAAGCAAAUAAUGAUGUCUUCCUUCCGCAGAAGAAGAAAAAAAGCAGAUGAACUAUAAACAACAGCAUCCGGAGUCUCAAAAGCUAAAAGAAAUGCAAACAACUGGUGGGUGGCCUGAUAUCAGCUUGAGGUUGCUGUCAUGAAUGAGCUCCUUCCUUGAACUUGCCCAUAAGAGCACCGUAUGCUGCCUUGUCGUACCUUUCUUGGAAACAAUGGCUGAAAUAAGAAAGUAAGAAUCAUUGAGUCUCUGAGUUUUCGUUGUUGUUGUUUGUUUGUUUGUUUGUUUGUUAAUAAUCAGAGAAAUAUGCAGAACUAGAUACCAGAGCCAAUGACUUGAAGCCAUGAAUAAGUUUAUCACUUACUCGUAAGUAGGGAGAAAAGUGGUCCAAAUCUGUCUGAUAAGAGAGACACUGUUUGCUAAUAAUGAGAUGAUGUGUCCAGUUUAUCUGUAAAAUGCAAUUUAUUCUGUGUUAUUGAUCUCUGUCCUGAAGAAAGGAGAGGGCCUGCUUCCUUCUGUAGGUUGAUGUAGGAGGCCACUUUCCAUGUUGCAGUCCUGCCUGCCACUGACUGUCCCAGGGAACUGCAGCGCUUGGGGUUGCAGCUGACAGGGAGUUGAAUAUCUUGGGGAACAUCUGCCAGUUAAGUGGGAUCAAGCUAAUAUACAAGUAGCUCUUGAAAUUUGAAUUUUGACUUCUAAUUGGAACACAGGAGACACUUGCUAGUUACCUCUGCAGCUCUGAGAAGUGGGCUGAAUUUGUGGCUGUUGGCAAAGAAUCCAGAGAUCUCAGCUUGUCUGGUGAAGUUGAGAUGUGGGUUUGGCUUUUCUGAGUUCCUGUUGUCCUCUUCCUUCUCAACUUCCCAUUGAAGUUUGGGUUCAUUUACACUGAUCGCUUGAUUCACUGUCUUCCUGAAAGCAGAGAAAUACUGCUGAUAGGCCCUACCCCAUGCAUAUAUCUAGGUUUCUAGUUUUCUAUAACAGAGGAGGCUUGAACCAACAUUUUUCAGUUUAAAACCUCUAGAAAUUGAUCGCGACUGUUUAACUUUAUAAACAGUGCCUGAUAGAUGAAAAAUUCUGGGUGAUGUUUUAGUUAGUUUUAUCUUUGUGUAUGAUUUAGAGUGUUGAGUAGAUGUAGAGUGAUGUCA
rnacentral:lncRNA from 1 species